rnacentral:rRNA from 1 species
ACCCGUUGAUCCUGCGGGAGAUUGCUGCUAUUGGGAUUCGACUAAGCCAUGCAAGUCAGGGGGUUCCUUCGGGAACACCGGCAAAAUGCUCAGUAACACGUUGAUAAUUUUCCUUUAGAUCAGGGAUAACCUUGGGAAACUGAGGCUAAAACCUGGUAGAAAAUUCUGGCUGGAAUGCCUUAUUUUUGAAACUUCGGGUCUAAAGAUAAGUCAGCGGCCGAUUAGGCUGUUGGUGGGGUAAUGGCCCACCAAACCAUUGAUCGGUAGGGGCCUUGAGAGAGGAAGCCCCGAGAAGGGCACUGAGAUAAGGGCCCUAGCCCUACGGGGUGCAGCAGGCGCGAAACCUCUACAAUGCACGAAAGUGUGAUAGGGGGAUCCCAAGUGCCAAUGCUUUAUGUAUUGGCUUUUUUUGAGAGUAAAUAUCUUGAAGAAUAAGUAGUGGGCCAGACCGGUGCCAGCCGCCGCGGUAACACCGGCGCUGCAAGUGGCAAUCGUAAUUAUUGGGCCUAAAGCGUCCGUAGCUGGUUGUUUAAGUUCUUUGUGAAAUCGUCAGGCUCAACCUGCCGAAUUGCGAAGAAUACUGAAUGACUAGGGACCGGAAGGAGUCAAAGGUACUUUUUGGGGAGCGGUAAAAUGCGAUAAUCCUUAAAGGACCGCCAGUGGCGAAGGCGUUUGACUAGUACGGAUCCGACAGUGAGGGACGAAAGCCAGGGGAGCAAACCGGAUUAGAUACCCGAGUAGUCCUGGCCGUAAACGCUGCGAGUUAGGCGUUGCAUUUUCCUCGAGAAAAUGCAGUGUCGAUGCGAAGGCGUUAAACUCGCCGCCUGGGAAGUACGGUCGCAAGACUGAAACUUAAAGGAAUUGGCGGGGGCACACCACAAGGAGUGAAAUGUGCGGUUUAAUCUAACUUUACGCAGAGAAUCUUACUAGAAGCGACGGCAGAAUGAAAGUCAGGUUGAAGACCUUACUUAACAAGCCGAGAGGUAGUGCAUGGCCGCCGUCAGCUCGUGCCGUGAGGUGUCCUGUUAAGUCAGGCAACGAGCGAGACCUGCAUCUACAGUUGCCAGCAAGUUCUCCGGAACGAUUGGGCACACUGUAGAGACUGCCCUGGAAACGGGGAGGAAGGUGCAGGCUACGGUAGGUCUGUAUGCUCCGAAUCUUCUAGGCUACACGCGCAUUGCAAUGGUAGGUACAAUGGGAUGCAACUCCGAAAGGAGGAGCUAAACCUCGAAAGCCUAUCUUAGUUCGGAUUGAACUCUGUAACCCGAGUUCAUGAAGAUGGAAUUCCUAGUAAUUGGACUUUAUCAUAGUCCAGUGAAUACGUCCCUGUGCCUUGCACACACCGCCCGUCAAGCCACUCGAGCAGGUUUUGGAUGAGGGCUAAUUUUUUGAUUAGUCCGAAUCUAAGAUCAGUGAGAUGGGUUAAGUCGUCACAAGGUA